UACGGAGGGUGCAAGCGUUAUCCGGAUUCACUGGGUUUAAAGGGUGCGUAGGUGGGCUGGUAAGUCAGUGGUGAAAUCUCCAGGCUUAACUUGGAAACUGCCAUUGAUACUAUUAGUCUUGAAUACCGUGGAGGUCAGCGGAAUAUGUCAUGUAGCGGUGAAAUGCUUAGAUAUGACAUAGAACACCAAUUGCGAAGGCACUUUACUGGGCUAUUACUAACACUCAGAGACGAAAGCUAGGGUAGCAAAUGGG
rnacentral:rRNA from 1 species